AGUGAACGCUGGCGGUAGGCCUAACACAUGCAAGUCGAACGGCAGCACAGUAAGAGCUUGCUCUUACGGGUGGCGAGUGGCGGACGGGUGAGGAAUACAUCGGAAUCUACUUUUUCGUGGGGGAUAACGUAGGGAAACUUACGCUAAUACCGCAUACGACCUACGGGUGAAAGCAGGGGAUCUUCGGACCUUGCGCGAUUGAAUGAGACGAUGUCGGAUUAGCUAGUUGGCGGGGUAAAGGCCCACCAAGGCGACGAUCCGUAGCUGGUCUGAGAGGAUGAUCAGCCACACUGGAACUGAGACACGGUCCAGACUCCUACGGGAGGCAGCAGUGGGGAAUAUUGGACAAUGGGCGCAAGCCUGAUCCAGCCAUACCGCGUGAGUGAAGAAGGCCUUCGGGUUGUAAAGCCCUUUUGUUGGGAAAGAAAAGCAGCAGGUUAAUACCCCGCUGUUCUGACGGUACCCAAAGAAUAAGCACCGGCUAACUUCGUG
rnacentral:rRNA from 1 species